rnacentral:rRNA from 1 species
UACGAAGGGGGGCUAGCGUUGCUCGGAAUGACUGGGCGUAAAGGGCGCGUAGGCGGUUUGUACAGUCAGAUGUGAAAUUCCUGGGCUCAACCUGGGGGCUGCAUUUGAUACGUAUGGACUGGAGUGAGGAAGAGGGUCGUGGAAUUCCCAGUGUAGAGGUGAAAUUCGUAGAUAUUGGGAAGAACACCGGUGGCGAAGGCGGCGACCUGGUCCUUUACUGACGCUGAGGCGCGAAAGCGUGGGGAGCAAACAGG